GGUUAGCUACGAGUAUCUACCUAUAUUCAAAAAAUUUAUUUGUAUAUUUCACAGGUACUUGAAUAAUUUUAUCAGCUUUGGAAAAUGGAUAUUCAAUGCCAUGUUUGCGUGGUUUUUUUGUACGCUGGUGUCGUUUAUAUUUUUAUCAGAUCAGGUCGACAAUAAUUCAAUAGUGACCGUAAAGAUAAUUAAUGCUGUUGCGGGUUUUGUUAUCGUUUUCUACAUUCUGUGCUAUUCUGGAGAAGUAGUUAGCCGAAUUAACGAAUCCAUGGUGGGACAAUUUUACGAUACCUCUUGGUACACGUUGAAACCUUCUUUUCGCAAAUGGUUUCUUACUCUGGUGACAAUAACACAAGACCACAUUCAAUUGAAGGCUUUCAAUAUGUUCACGAUUGAUUUAAAAUUAUUUGCGGGAAUGCUAAAAACUGUGUACUCUAUCGUUAACGUUAUGAAAAUGAAGCAAAAUGGUUGAAUAACAUGCUGUGUUAUCAGUUUUAAAAUGAAUUUGCCUACUUAUGUACCUACUUAUGUAUAGUUUGUUAUACAAAUUUUCGUUGAAAAAAAUUGAAAUAGAAUACACAUU